rnacentral:lncRNA from 1 species
GACAAUAUUCCGGAGAAUACAAAGAAGGUACAUCGAACUGAGUAUUCUCACCGUGAUGACAGGGCCACACGUAAAAGUAGAUCCAGGAGUCCAUCGAGAGCAGCAGGCUCUGACGGAAGGGGUCGAUCUACUCUCAAGAAGAAAUUAUCUCCGGAGAAAGAAGUCUCUUCGAAGAGGGAAGAUAUGGACUUUUUGGUUAAAGAGUUAAAAUAACUUAAAA